rnacentral:rRNA from 1 species
GGAUCAUUGUCGAAAUCGAACGGAAGAACGACCCGCGAAUCGUCAUUGCGUAGUAGACAGAGCCCGUGAGCACCUAACGCUCACGGGUCUCGCGUCGCGUCGGCGCGGGUGUACUCGAGACCCGCGUCGUACCGGCGGACAAACAACGUCAGCACGGAUCGUGCCAAGGAGCAGCAUGGAGAGAAUCGUCGUCCCACGCCUUUGAUAGUCCUCGACGCGGGACGGGGGAUGUACGCAAUCUCUACUCAAAAGUCUAAACGACUCUCGGCAACGGAUAUCUCGGCUCUUGCAUCGAUGAAGAACGUAGCGAAAUGCGAUACUUGGUGUGAAUUGCAGAAUCCCGUGAACCAUCAAUUCUUUGAACGCAAGUUGCGCCCGAAGCCAUUCGGCCGAGGGCACGCCUGCCUGGGCGUCGUGAAUCCCCUUGCCCCUAGGCACCCGCAUGAGCAUUGGCGGGGACAUAUGCUCGGGCGCAGAAUAUGGUCUCCCGUGGGAUCGGCAUGCACGGCAUGUCGAGGUGCGGUUGGCCGAAAAUCGAGCAUGGCGGUGACGGGCACCACGGCGUUCGGUGGAUCGAAUGAGAUUGGCUGCGUCGUGGGCUCGGCAUGCGGCGGGCUCCGGACUUUGAAUAUCCCCGAGUGCGAUCCCAGGUCAGGCGGGGCUACCCGCUGAGUUUAAGCAUAUCAAUAAGCGGAGGAAAAGAAACUAACGAGGAUUCCCUUAGUAGCGGC